CUUUGUCCACCAUGUUGGCCAGAAGUCUCCAGUCCCAAUUAGACUUCUUCCUUACAGAUUUAGCCUGGCUCCAGGCUCUGGCCAUCUUUCUGGAUCUUUCUUCAGGCAUCUGGCAUGUUGUCCAAAGCCAGUUACACAGCUGAGCCCAAAGUGAAGGGGCAUGGAAAAAUAUUCCACCCACUAUGAGGCCAUGGCAGGCAUGUCGAUGCAGAGAGGGCUAAAUAAUUGGAGCCAAUCAUUCCAUCUCCCACAGGCAGCUCACAUGUCAUAAAUAUAACUGUGCUGAGGCCACUGUGGGAAGGACAGGGUCACGUCACUAACCUCACAGUCCAACAAACACCCCAAGCUCUGGUUCCUCCAUCCCCUCCUUCUUCUCCUUCCUGGUCCCAUCCUGCAAAUCCCCUCCCUGUUCCUCCUGUUGGGUCAUUCCACCUCCACUCAGACCCAUGGAGAGCUCAGCUUUUGUCCUGAGAGGAACUUGAGGAAAUGUUUCCCUGAUCUCAUUACAUGUCGAUUAUUUCUGACCAUGUUUUAGGUCCCUGGGCUCUAUCUUUCCCCAGCCACCCAGCAAGCUUCUGGGCUCUGAUCCCAAUUAAGAGCAGUAAAGCAUGAAGAAUGGCUAGGCCUUCAGGGGAAAAAAUUUGAAAAGAUCUUCAUUGCUUUAAACAUUAUGUGGGCUGACUCACCCUGCAUCCCUAAAUUUAUGACUGUGGUCUCCACAAAAUAGGAGCAAAAGGAUGCUGACCUUAUACCCCAGCCGGACACCUUCCACCCUUAUUCCUGCAGCCCACCUACAGCUUGCCCCCAACUAACCAGCCAGGGCUGGACCACAGAGUCAGGGUGGCAGUGUAGGUGAAACUCAGCACUUCCAAGUCUGGAUGCAGGUCCUGGCUCUGCCACUUAGAGGCUGACUGUGCCUGGAUAAGUCUCUUACCCUCCCAGGAUCCCACUCGUUGCUGGGGUGAUACCCACUAGGUAGAGAUGUUAUGGAAAGUGCAUCUAAGAAAUAGCACCAGCGGAGGUGCCUCGAAACCUGAAAAGCACCACACCAAUGCGAGGCACUGUUCUUCCUGUAUGCUGAGUUCAAGAAAUGAGGCUGAUUUCAAAACUUACUCGUAGUAAGUUUCUAACUAGAAAGGAGAUCCACUGUCACAAAAAACACGUCUCAUCCCCAAGCCAAAUAAAAUGGGUUUCUGGCUGGGCCCUGCUGGUGGCAUGUGAUGGGGCUCCUGCCUGUCUGGCAGAGCUGACCAAGAGGGCGGGCUCCACUCUCCACUCCCCAGCCUCUGGGUCUUGGGAGUGCAGGGGGCCAGGCAGCUGCAGGCAGGAGGGCAGGAGGAUUUGAGCAGCUGGGCUAAGGUCAGGCACAGAGGCUUGGGCUCAGCAGACAGCCAAAUGCUCGGCCCAGCUGCUACUGCCUCUUUCUGGGACCUGUGCAGGAGGCAGAUGCUGGCUGCCAGGCUGGCGGGCUCCCCUCCACAGCUGCAAGGCCACCUGGGCCCAGGGGUCUGCUCUUCCCUCUCCUCCUGCUGAAUGGCAUUCUUUCCUUUUCUUUCUCUGUCUCCUCACUCUCCCUUUCCUUCUAUUCCUUUUCUCCCUCAUCUCUUUGUGUCUUCAUUUCUGUCUUUGUCUUAUCCUAUGUCUCUCUUCUUUGUAUUUUUUCCCUCCCUCUCUCAGUUUCUUGGCCUCUCUUCAUCUCUCUGUCUCUGGGUUAAAAGUUGUAGGAAAAGGAUAGAAGGUGGGGCCCAAGAGGAAUCCCAGAUGAAACUGAGCUGAGCUCCUACUACGAUUUCAAUGUCUGUGUUUCCCCAAAAUUUAUAUGUCGAUCCCUAAUCUCCAGUGCAAUAGUAUUAGGAGGUGGGGCCUUUGGAAAGUGACUAGGUCAUGAGAGUGGAGCCCUCAUGAAUGCAACCAUAAGAGAGGCCUGAGGGAACUGUUUGCCCCUUCUGCCAUGUGAGGUCAUAGCUACAAGGCGCUGUCUAUGAAUGUAUGAACAAGAAAGUGGGCUGUCAUCAGACAUCACACCUGCCACCACCUUGAUCUUGAACUUCCAGCCUCCAGAACUGUGAGUAAUAACUUUCUGUUGUCUAUAAGCCACCCAGUCUAUAGUACUUUGUUAUAGUAACCUGAACAGACUAGGACAGAUCCCAUCCUGUCCCAAUCAAGAGAGAUUCAGGAGGGUGUCUGGAAAUAGGUUCAACUUUGGAGUUGGGAGCAACACAGAUCUAUGGACUCUUUAAAGACAUCCUCAAAGAAUGAAGCCAGGCCCCUGCACUUGCUCCUGGGACACAGGAAGCCCCACAGUAUUCAGUUCUCACUGAUACCA
rnacentral:lncRNA from 1 species